UACGUAGGGGGCAAGCGUUGUUCGGAAUUACUGGGCGUAAAGCGUGCGCAGGCGGUGAUGUAAGACAGUUGUGAAAUCCCCGGGCUCAACCUGGGAACUGCAUCUGUGACUGCAUCGCUGGAGUGCGGCAGAGGGGGAUGGAAUUCCGCGUGUAGCAGUGAAAUGCGUAGAUAUGCGGAGGAACACCGAUGGCGAAGGCAAUCCCCUGGGCCUGCACUGACGCUCAUGCACGAAAGCGUGGGGAGCAAGCAGG
rnacentral:rRNA from 1 species